UACGGGGGGGGGCAAGCGUUGUUCGGAAUUACUGGGCGUAAAGGGCUCGUAGGCGGCCAACUAAGUCAGACGUGAAAUCCCACGGCUUAACCGGGGAACUGCGUCUGAUACUGGAUGGCUUGAGUCGGGAGAGGGAUGCGGAAUUCCAGGUGUAGCGGUGAAAUGCGUAGAUAUCUGGAGGAACACCGGUGGCGAAGGCGGCAUCCUGGACCGGCAUUGACGCUGAGGAGCGAAAGCCAGGGGAGCAAACGGG
rnacentral:rRNA from 1 species